GACGAACGCUGGCGGCGUGCUUAACACAUGCAAGUCGAACGUGAUUUUUGUGGAAAUUCUUUCGGGAAUGGAAAUGAAAUGAAAGUGGCGAACGGGUGAGUAACACGUGAGCAACCUACCUUACACAGGGGGAUAGCCGUUGGAAACGACGAUUAAUACCGCAUGAGACCACAGAAUCGCAUGAUAUAGGGGUCAAAGAUUUAUCGGUGUAAGAAGGGCUCGCGUCUGAUUUGCUAGUUGGAAGGGUAAAGGCCUACCAAGGCGACGAUCAGUAGCCGGUCUGAGAGGAUGAACGGCCACAUUGGAACUGAGACACGGUCCAAACUCCUACGGGAGGCAGCAGUGGGGAAUAUUGCACAAUGGGGGGAACCCUGAUGCAGCGACGCCGCGUGAGCGAAGAAGGUUUUCGAAUCGUAAAGCUCUGUCCUAUGAGAAGAUAAUGACGGUAUCAUAGGAGGAAGCCCCGGCUAAAUACGUG
rnacentral:rRNA from 1 species